rnacentral:rRNA from 1 species
AUUGAACGCUGGCGGCAGGCCUAACACAUGCAAGUCGAACGGUAACAGGAAGCAGCUUGCUGCUUUGCUGACGAGUGGCGGACGGGUGAGUAAUGUCUGGGAAACUGCCCGAUGGAGGGGGAUAACUACUGGAGACGGUAGCUAAUACCGCAUAACGUCGCAAGACCAAAGAGGGGGACCUUAGGGCCUCUUGCCAUCGGAUGUGCCCAGAUGGGAUUAGCUAGUAGGUGGGGUAACGGCUCACCUAGGCGACGAUCCCUAGCUGGUCUGAGAGGAUGACCAGCCACACUGGAACUGAGACACGGUCCAGACUCCUACGGGAGGCAGCAGUGGGGAAUAUUGCACAAUGGGCGCAAGCCUGAUGCAGCCAUGCCGCGUGUAUGAAGAAGGCCUUCGGGUUGUAAAGUACUUUCAGCGGGGAGGAAGGGAGUAAAGUUAAUACCUUUGCUCAUUGACGUUACCCGCAGAAGAAGCACCGGCUAACUCCGUG